rnacentral:rRNA from 1 species
CACGUAGGGGGCGAGCGUUGUCCGGAUUUAUUGGGCGUAAAGAGCUCGUAGGCGGCUCAGUAAGUCGGGUGUGAAAACUCCAGGCUCAACCUGGAGACGCCACCUGAUACUGCUGUGGCUAGAGUCCGGUAGGGGAGCAUGGAAUUCCUGGUGUAGCGGUGAAAUGCGUUGAUAUCGGAAGGAACGCCGGUGGCGAAAGCGGCGUACUGGACCUCUUCUGACGCUGAGGCGCGAAAGCUAGGGGAGCAAACGGG